GAUGAACGCUGGCGGCGUGCCUAAUACAUGCAAGUCGAGCGAACAGACGAGGAGCUUGCUCCUCUGACGUUAGCGGCGGACGGGUGAGUAACACGUGGAUACCCUACCUAUAAGACUGGGAUCACUUCGGGAAACCGGAGCUAAUACCGGAUAAUAUCUUGAACCGCAUGGUUCAAUAGUGAAAGACGGUUUUGCUGUCACUUAUAGAUGGAUCCGCGCCGCAUUAGCUAGUUGGUAAGGUAACGGCUUACCAAGGCAACGAUGCGUAGCCGACCUGAGAGGGUGAUCGGCCACACUGGAACUGAGACACGGUCCAGACUCCUACGGGAGGCAGCAGUAGGGAAUCUUCCGCAAUGGGCGAAAGCCUGACGGAGCAACGCCGCGUGAGUGAUGAAGGUCUUCGGAUCGUAAAACUCUGUUAUUAGGGAAGAACAAAUGUGUAAGUAACUAUGCACGUCUUGACGGUACCUAAUCAGAAAGCCACGGCUAACUACGUG
rnacentral:rRNA from 1 species